CCUGAGAUCAAGAGUCAGAUGCUCUACCAACUGAGCCAGCCAGCUUUUGUGUAUGUCAAAGAGAGAAAUCCAUGCUGCUGAUGAGAGCCAUCUAGAAGUUUUGCUGUUGUCUGUUCCAGAAAAAGGAAAUCACAAUAUAUACUUCAUUAAAAAAUGAAAGAAAAAGCAACUGAAAGCAGAAAAUAAUCUCAGUUGGAAUACAGUAAAGCAAGAAAAAUGCUCCCAGUCUUAUCUGCAUCUUGCUGGACAACAGGAAACCCUGGAUGGAGAAGGAUGGGUGUGGGAUGGCCCCACAGCAACGCUGUCAGUACUGAGAUGUGUAAACUGGAAUUUGGGGG